rnacentral:lncRNA from 1 species
CCCCUUUUUUUGUGUUGCUCUGUUUUUGUAACUCCGAUGAGUUGCUCUGUUUUUGUAACUACUUCAACAAAGUUGCUCUGUUUUUUUCAACAAAAAACUCCGACUAGUAGGUCUGUAUAUUUGCGAAAAUUUCAACAAACUGAACGCAGUGUACACAGAGAUGUUGAAGAAAUGACGAGUUGCUCUGUUUUAGUGAAGAAAGAAUAGACAGGGAGAGAGAGAGAGGGGGGAGAAGGAGAGUUGAUGUGAGAGAGAGAGAGAACAAUUGAGUUUUUAUUUGUUAAGUGG